CCCUUAGAUGUUCUGGGCCGCACGCGCGCUACACUGACGAAGUCAGCGAGCAUGUCCUACGCCGACAGGUGCGGGGAAUCUUGUCAAACUUCGUCGUGAUGGGGAUUGAUUAUUGAAAUUCUUGAUCAUCAACGAGGAAUUCCUAGUAAGCGCAAGUCAGCAGCUUGCGUCGAUUACGUCCCUGCCCUUUGUACACACCGCCCGUCGCUACUACCGAUUGAACGGUUUAGUGAGGGCCUCGGAUUGGUCUCGGCCCGCUCUUUACCGGGCGGCGCCGUUGGUCGAGAAGACGCUCGAACUUGAUCGUUUAGAGGAAGUAAAAGUCGUAACA
rnacentral:rRNA from 1 species